rnacentral:rRNA from 1 species
UGGGGAAUAUUGCACAAUGGGCGAAAGCCUGAUGCAGCAACGCCGCGUGAGUGAUGAAGGCCUUCGGGUUGUAAAGCUCUGUCUUUUGGGACGAUAAUGACGGUACCAAAGGAGGAAGCCACGGCUAACUACGUGCCAGCAGCCGCGGUAAUACGUAGGUGGCAAGCGUUGUCCGGAUUUACUGGGCGUAAAGGAUGCGUAGGCGGAUUUUUAAGUGAGAUGUGAAAACCCUAAGCUUAACUUGGGGACUGCAUUUCAUACUGGAAAUCUAGAGUGCGGGAGAGGAGAAUGGAAUUCCUAGUGUAGCGGUGAAAUGCGUAGAGAUUAGGAAGAACACCAGUGGCGAAGGCGAUUCUCUGGACCGUAACUGACGCUGAGGCAUGAAAGCGUGGGUAGCAAACAGGAUUAGAUACCCUGGUAGUCCACGCCGUAAACGAUGAGUACUAGGUGUAGGAGGUAUCGACCCCUUCUGUGCCGUAGUUAACACAAUAAGUACUCCGCCUGGGAAGUACGAUCGCAAGAUUAAAACUCAAAUGAAUUGACGGGGUCAUAGCUGUUUUCC